UGUUGGCCAGGCUUCUGUCACCCACGCUGGAGUACAGUGAUGCGAUCUCAUCUCACUGCAACUUCUGCCUCCUGGGUUCAAGCAAUUCUUAUGACUCAGUCUCCAGAGUAGCUGGGACUACAGGAGCAUGCCAUCAUGCCCAGCUAAUUUUUUUUUUUUUUGUAUUUUUGGUGGAGAUGUGGUAGAGUUGGGAUCUUGCUAUGUUAGUCAGGUUGUUCUCAAAUUUCUGGUCUCAAAUGAUCUGCACCUUGGCGUCCCUAAGUGUUGGGAUUACAGGAGAAGGUUUCCAGUUGGAAAUGCAAAUCUACAGAAGGGAUGAUGAGCACCAUGAAUGGCGGAUAGAUGACUGGCUACAAAAGAUGCACACACCAAAGAGCAGAACAUGUUGGACUGUCUUUUGA
rnacentral:lncRNA from 13 species